ACGCUGGCGGCAGGCCUAACACAUGCAAGUCGAGCGGUAGAGAGAAGCUUGCUUCUCUUGAGAGCGGCGGACGGGUGAGUAAUGCCUAGGAAUCUGCCUGGUAGUGGGGGAUAACGUUCGGAAACGGACGCUAAUACCGCAUACGUCCUACGGGAGAAAGCAGGGGACCUUCGGGCCUUGCGCUAUCAGAUGAGCCUAGGUCGGAUUAGCUAGUUGGUGGGGUAAUGGCUCACCAAGGCGACGAUCCGUAACUGGUCUGAGAGGAUGAUCAGUCACACUGGAACUGAGACACGGUCCAGACUCCUACGGGAGGCAGCAGUGGGGAAUAUUGGACAAUGGGCGAAAGCCUGAUCCAGCCAUGCCGCGUGUGUGAAGAAGGUCUUCGGAUUGUAAAGCACUUUAAGUUGGGAGGAAGGGCAGUAAAUUAAUACUUUGCUGUUUUGACGUUACCGACAGAAUAAGCACCGGCUAACUCUGUGCCAGCAGCCGCGGUAAUACAGAGGGUGCAAGCGUUAAUCGGAAUUACUGGGCGUAAAGCGCGCGUAGGUGGUUCGUUAAGUUGGAUGUGAAAUCCCCGGGCUCAACCUGGAACUGCAUUCAAAACUGACGAGCUAGAGUAUGGUAGAGGGUGGUGGAAUUUCCUGUGUAGCGGUGAAAUGCGUAGAUAUAGGAAGGAACACCAGUGGCGAAGGCGACCACCUGGACUGAUACUGACACUGAGGUGCGAAAGCGUGGGGAGCAAAC
rnacentral:rRNA from 1 species